rnacentral:rRNA from 1 species
GAUGAACGCUGGCGGCGUGCCUAACACAUGCAAGUCGAACGGGGAUAGGAUGAAACCUAGUGAUUCCUAUUCUAGUGGCGGACGGGUGAGUAACGCGUGGAUAACCUGCCUUGUACAGGGGGAUAACACCUGGAAACAGGUGCUAAGACCGCAUAAGCGCACAGUCUCGCAUGGGACAGUGUGAAAAACUCCGGUGGUACAAGAUGGAUCCGCGUCUGAUUAGCCAGUUGGCGGGGUAACGGCCCACCAAAGCGACGAUCAGUAGCCGGCCUGAGAGGGUGAACGGCCACAUUGGGACUGAGACACGGCCCAA